rnacentral:rRNA from 1 species
UUGGAGGUAUAGCCUGCCCCCUGAGUCUUUAAAUGGCCGCGGUAGCCUGACCGUGCAAAGGUAGCAUAAUAAUUAGUUUUUUAAUUGAUAGCUGGAAUGAAAGGCUGGACGAGGGAAAAACUGUCUCUGUUUAAUUUAAUUAGAAUUUUAUUUUUAAGUAAGAAAGCUUAAAUGAGUUUGAAAGACGAGAAGACCCUAUAGAAUUUUAUAUUUAUUUUAAUGUUGGGGUGUGAGGAAUAGUUAGCUUUGGCAUUAUUAGACAUAUUUUAUUGGGGCGAUAGAAAAAUUUAAAUAACUUUUUUUAAAUUUAUCCAUUAAUUUAUGAGUAGAUGAUCCAUUAUUUAUGAUUAUAAGAUUAAAUUACCUUAGGGAUAACAGCGUGAUCUUUUUUAAGAGUUCUUAUCGAAAGAAGGGAUUGCGACCUCGAUGUUGGAUUAAAAUUAACUUUUGGUGUAGGAGCUAAAACGUUGGGUCUGUUCGACCUUUAAAAUUUUACAUGAUCUGAGUUUAAACCGGCGUGAGCCAGGUUGGUUUCUAUCUUCAAAUAAUUAAAAUACUUUAGUACGAAAGGAUCAAGUAUUUAUAAAAUUUAUUAUAUUAAGAAUAUCAGUAAUAGA